GCCGACGAGUCUGGGUGGCCCACUGUGUACUGAGGAUGGGGCGGGGCUAAACACGGCGGGGACAGCCAUGACAGCUCUUCGGGAAGCUCUGCUGGAGACUACACUUCCCAGGGGGCGCCGCGCGGCGUGGGCGGGAGCAGGGCGCCUCGGAUUGAGUGCGCAGGCGCGAGAGCGCUCCCCUGGUUAUAUAAAGGAGGU
rfam:Otolemur garnettii contig050352, whole genome shotgun sequence.